UUAACAGAUGAGCAGUUGGUUCAGAUCACACACAAAAUCAGUCCAUUUUUAUAUGCAUAUUUUUAGGCUAAAAAAAUCUCUACCCUGUACUUCUUGGUAACAUGAGUGAACAAAUGCUUCCUGCUGUGGUCCAAAGAAAAGGAAAAUACCCUUGGAAAAAAUGAAGUAUUUCUCGCCCCCGGAGUUCUGGACAAUGUACUAAAGAGCUUCUGAAUCUGCUGGCUGCCCAAGCUAUGUCCAAAGGCAUAGCAGGAAAGGAUAAACAGAAAAGCAGAUUGAGGAGACAAUGCAAGCCCUUACCAAAUGCUGAGCUCAGUGGGGACACAAACUGGAUGCCACCCGACACCGAGGCUACAAAUUCUGUGUUCAGGAGCUCCAUGAUUGAAAUUAUGCAGCUGAAGCUGAACCCUCAUGAGUUUCUCUGAUUUUUCUGUACCUGCAUCAGAAAGUGGAAUGUACUUCAGAAGUUCUUCCUUAACCCUUUCCUGGCACUACCUGUGUGAAUCCCAUUGCUGUGGAAAACCUGUGCGUGUGUGUUCACCUGCAUGACAGACCAACCACCACAGAGGUUCCGAUCUGCCCAGUUCUGCACUGAUACAAAUCCGAAAUAAUUCUGCUAACUUCGUCAGAGCUGCUCAGCAGAGACGCAUGCAGUUGAGGCCAGGAUCUGUUCCACUUAAUUAAAUAAAUAAAGGUUAAAUAUCCUGAAAGAUCCAUUUUCCAGUGUCCUUAACCUUGUUUUUGCUGGUGACCUCCUUAUUUAUUUAUUUACUUAUUUUCAAGCUGAGCUUUUCAUGGUCAUUGACAUAAAUUUUCCAGCUUUUCUAAUACAGAACAUCUGUGGUCCCUAUGCAGUGUCCUCUAUAGGUCAUGGGAAAGCUUUAUCUUACUAAUAAGCUCCAUUCCUCUAUAUAUUCAAGCCCAACUGACUGGGCCAAGUGUGUUUAUAAAUAAAUAUUGCCUUGUAAUGACCAUUUCCCUAUGCCCCAGAGGAACAGAGAUUCAGGCCUUUUGAGCUGGCCAGCUGCCUCCUUUAAUAACAGUGAGAACAGUUUUACCCUGUCUGGUUAAAGUUGGAUUUAUGUGAAAAUGAACUCCCCAAGGUGACAGGCCAGUGACACUGAAGAAUGCAAUGCUCCCAGCUACCCUUAAUAGUUGGGGAAGCUUGUUCAUCCAUCCACCAUUUUCUCUUCAUCAAACAAAAUGAGGGGUGUGUUUAUUGAAUAUCUCUAUUUGUCCCUGACUAUCUCUGUCUGCUUCAGCCCAAGCAGGGACAAAAUCAUGAGGAAGGCAAGUGAGCUUCAUUUGAAUGCUAUCCUGUAUCUUUCAGUAAGAGAGGUGACCAUUGAUGUAUGACAUUGCUAAAUUAUGGAAGAAUACAUCUGCUGGGAAAUUCAGAGAAUGUAUUACAAAAGUACCUGAUAAAUCACUCUUCUUACUGAUGAGUGCAACAAGAAAUAUGCUGCAAUAUGCUUUCUCUUCUAGAUGAAGCAUGAUCUAAUAGUUCCUUAUCACUGAAGGAUGACAUACUGUCUUAGUGGCUUCUUUCUUAAUACUGCUCUAUCAGAGGGAAUAAUUUGUAUUUCUUACAUGAGUCUUGAUCUGCUCUGCAUCUUCUUCU
ensembl:lncRNA